UAUUAAAAUUUCAUUCAUUUGUUAUGUUAAAAAUUGGUGGGUUGAUAUAGUAACUAGACAUGUGACAUGUCAUAUUUACCUUAUGCUGACGUAUAAUGGCUAGUUUUUAACAGUAAAAAUAGAUAAAAUUUUUAACA
rfam:Gossypium hirsutum cultivar TM-1 unplaced genomic scaffold scaffold42.1, whole genome shotgun sequence